AUUGAACGCUGGCGGCAUGCUUUACACAUGCAAGUCGAACGGCAGCACGGGGGCAACCCUGGUGGCGAGUGGCGAACGGGUGAGUAACACAUCGGAACGUGCCCAGUUGUGGGGGAUACCUAUCGAAAGGUAGGCUAAUACCGCAUGAGCUCGGCAAGAGGAAAGCGGGGGACCCAGUGAUGGGCCUGGCGCGACUGGAGCGGCCGAUGUCCGAUUAGCUAGNGGUGAGGUAAAGGCUUACCAAGGCGACGAUCGGUAGCUGGUCUGAGAGGAUGAUCAGCCACACUGGGACUGAGACACGGCCCAGACUCCUACGGGAGGCAGCGAGU
rnacentral:rRNA from 1 species